rnacentral:rRNA from 1 species
AUGCUCGUUACGCGCAGCAGGACGGAAAGACCCCGGGACCUUUACUAUAGUUUGGUAUUGGUGAUUGGGACGGUUUGUGUAGGAUAGGUGGGAGACGUUGAUGCGGCCACGCUAGUGGUGGUGGAGUCGUUGGUGAAAUACCACUCUGAUUGUUCUGGUUAUCUCACUGUGGACCGUGAUCCGGUUCAAGGACAGUGCCUGAUGGGUAGUUUGACUGGGGCGGUCGCCUCCCAAAGAGUAACGGAGGCGUGCGAAGG